rnacentral:rRNA from 1 species
GGAUCCAGACUUUGAUUAUGGCUCAGGAUGAACGCUAGCUACAGGCUUAACACAUGCAAGUCGAGGGGCAGCAUGGUCUUAGCUUGCUAAGACUGAUGGCGACCGGCGCACGGGUGAGUAACACGUAUCCAACCUGCCGUCUACUCUUGGACAGCCUUCUGAAAGGAAGAUUAAUACAAGAUGGCAUCAUGAGUCCGCAUGUUCACAUGAUUAAAGGUAUUCCGGUAGACGAUGGGGAUGCGUUCCAUUAGAUAGUAGGCGGGGUAACGGCCCACCUAGUCUUCGAUGGAUAGGGGUUCUGAGAGGAAGGUCCCCCACAUUGGAACUGAGACACGGUCCAAACUCCUACGGGAGGCAGCAGUGAGGAAUAUUGGUCAAUGGGCGAGAGCCUGAACCAGCCAAGUAGCGUGAAGGAUGACUGCCCUAUGGGUUGUAAACUUCUUUUAUAAAGGAAUAAAGUCGGGUAUGGAUACCCGUUUGCAUGUACUUUAUGAAUAAGGAUCGGCUAACUCCGUGCCAGCAGCCGCGGUAAUACGGAGGAUCCGAGCGUUAUCCGGAUUUAUUGGGUUUAAAGGGAGCGUAGAUGGAUGUUUAAGUCAGUUGUGAAAGUUUGCGGCUCAACCGUAAAAUUGCAGUUGAUACUGGAUAUCUUGAGUGCAGUUGAGGCAGGCGGAAUUCGUGGUGUAGCGGUGAAAUGCUUAGAUAUCACGAAGAACUCCGAUUGCGAAGGCAGCCUGCUAAGCUGCAACUGACAUUGAGGCUCGAAAGUGUGGGUAUCAAACAGGAUUAGAUACCCUGGUAGUCCACACGGUAAACGAUGAAUACUCGCUGUUUGCGAUAUACGGCAAGCGGCCAAGCGAAAGCGUUAAGUAUUCCACCUGGGGAGUACGCCGGCAACGGUGCAACUCAAAGGAAUUGACGG